AGAAGCAUGGUGGACAGAUUUAGUUAUUGGCACAUUUUAGAAAUCUAGGAGGACAUGGAGGAUUUGAAGUAGUUUCGGCUGAAAAACACAUUCUUACUUUUCUAUAGUUUGCUGGGCAUCAAAGUACAAGUUUCAGGGAUGUUGAUGAUAGAUUUAAUUUGUCUCUUAGUGCCUUUGAAUCAGUGUUACAAAGAGUCACACAGUUUUUAUAUGAUUUAAGAAAUGAAUUUAUUCGGUAUGAACCCACUGAGGCAGAAAAGCAGAGACGCAGAGAUACUAUGUAGAAAAUAAAAAUUUUCCAGGAAUAAUUGGUUCUAUUGAUGGUUCACACAUCCGUAUAGACAAACCUUCUGAAGACCCAGUAGCCUAUAUCAAUAGAAACAUUAUUUUUCCAUUCACAUGCAGGGAACAGUUAAUGAGCAGAACAAGUUCUUAGAUGUGUUAAUUGGAUAUCCUGGCUCAGUGCAUGAUGCAAGAGUAUUUGCAAAUUCUAGUCUGGCUGAAGACUUACCAGCACUCUGUCACAACAGAAACAUAAUUCUUGGAGACGCUGCAUAUCCAUGCCUUCCUCAUUAAUUACUCCAUAUCGGGAUAAUGGACAUCUUACACAGGCCCAAAGAAACUUUAAUCGUAUACAUAGUCAGUGCAGAAUCUCUGUAGAACAUACAUUUGGAGUAUUGAAACAACGUUUCAGGGAAUUAUAUUUCCUUAAGCUGAGGAACAUGCAGUUCAUCAUUAAAUUCAUUUUCGCUUGUUGCGUCCUUCAUAAUAUGGCUGACUUUAAUGAUAUGCAAUACAUGGAAGAACCCGAGGACGACAAUCAUGCUGAUGUAAAUGCACAGGUGUUGUUAUGUCCUGCCAGAAGAUAGGGAUGAAAAUUUUGUUGAUGAACGACGUGGUUGUGAUCUCAGAGAU
rnacentral:lncRNA from 1 species